rnacentral:rRNA from 1 species
UACGUAGGGGGCAAGCGUUGUCCGGAUUUAUUGGGCGUAAAGAGCGUGUAGGCGGCUAGAUAGGUCCGUUGUGAAAACUCGAGGCUCAACCUCGAGACGCCGGUGGAAACAAUCUAGCUAGAGUCCGGAAGAGGAGAGUGGAAUUCCUGGUGUAGCGGUGAAAUGCGCAGAUAUCAGGAAGAACACCCGUGGCGAAGGCGGCUCUCUGGGACGUGACUGACGCUGAGACGCGAAAGCGUGGGGAGCGAACAGG